AUAAGCAUCAAGCCUAAAGGCGACAAUCUCACGCAUUUGGCCGAAAUGAUUCCUGGUCCCCUCACUACUCCUUACGAAGGCGGCACUUUCAACAUCGACAUUAUCUUGCCCGGUACAUAUGCCUUGGCUUGAAGGUGUGUUUGAUUAGCGCAUAAAAAGUUGUUAUGGCUUUGUUUGCUACAAUGGUUGAUUAGCUACACUACAUCAUCAGCAAAUGGCUCUGUUUCUCUCUCUAUGCUUUGUUUUGUUCAUCUUCUCUCUAAAUAGCAUCCAUGCUUCCGCAGCUCUUCCUCCUCUUCAACCACAUCUUGAUGGUAAGCACUGCCUCACUCCCUUUUACUUGCUUUAUAUACAUCUCACGUUACAUCUCUGUUUCUCUUUUUGGAAGAAAUUGCUUGAAUGUGAUGUGGU